AGAGAGAAAGAGAGAGGCAGAGACAUAGGCAGAGGGAGAAGCAGGCUCCAUGCAGGGAGCCUGAUGUGGGACUUGAUCCCAGGUCUCCAGGAUCACGCCCUGGGCCGAAGGUCCUGGAGUUGGAAGUCUUGGAAGGAAGGUGAAGUUGUGGAUGUGAUAAUAACAUGGAUUACGACUUUCUUGAGGAUCCCUUCAAUCUGCAUUUCAGAAGAUGGGAAGCGGAGUCCACUAAAGUGCUCCCCACAGAAUGGGGUUCCCAGAGCAACGCUGUAGGACGUCAUUCCCCCAAAUCCUGCCCCAACUGCGGCAAUGACCAAAUGGGUUUUGCUGCUUUAAAACACUGUUAGUGUUUUGUUACACAGCCUUGAAUCGCUAGAACAAGGGACAAUCAUGUCGCUGUCAGGAUGUUGGUGUGCAGUGAACACAGUGGGAAGAAAAUACAUGGGGAUGUUGUGUGCUUGAAGAUUUAAAAAAAAACAUGUUUUCAGAGGUGAUGGGAAAGAUGUGAUUUUAUAUCUGAAGUUAACUGUAGACAUAUUCUAAACCAUGUUUUAUCUCUGAGAAAAUUGAUUAUGAGGGAGGUGAAGAAGCUAGCUCUAUGUCAGCAGGUUACAUUGUGCCACAAUUGCUGCUUUCUGAAUUCCUGAAAAUGUUCAAUAUGGAGGAAGAUGAGAAUUAAAGUCUCUU